GGCUGGUCCAAUGGCAGUGGGUUAUCAGAACUUAUUAACAUUAGUGUCACUAAAGUUGGUAUACCCCCCCCCCCCUGCUAAAUUUGACUGGCUUUAA
rnacentral:Y_RNA from 1 species